rnacentral:rRNA from 3 species
AGCGUACACGGUGGAUGCCCUGGCAGUCAGAGGCGAUGAAGGACGUGCUAAUCUGCGAUAAGCGUCGGUAAGGUGAUAUGAACCGUUAUAACCGGCGAUUUCCGAAUGGGGAAACCCAGUGUGAUUCGUCACACUAUCAUUAACUGAAUCCAUAGGUUAAUGAGGCGAACCGGGGGAACUGAAACAUCUAAGUACCCCGAGGAAAAGAAAUCAACCGAGAUUCCCCCAGUAGCGGCGAGCGAACGGGGAGGAGCCCAGAGCCUGAAUCAGUAUGUGUGUUAGUGGAAGCGUCUGGAAAGGCGUGCGAUACAGGGUGACAGCCCCGUACACAAAAAUGCACAUGCUGUGAGCUCGAUGAGUAGGGCGGGACACGUGGUAUCCUGUCUGAAUAUGGGGGGACCAUCCUCCAAGGCUAAAUACUCCUGACUGACCGAUAGUGAACCAGUACCGUGAGGGAAAGGCGAAAAGAACCCCGGCGAGGGGAGUGAAAAAGAACCUGAAACCGUGUACGUACAAGCAGUGGGAGCCUCUUUAAUGGGGUGACUGCGUACCUUUUGUAUAAUGGGUCAGCGACUUAUAUUCUGUAGCAAGGUUAACCGAAUAGGGGAGCCGAAGGGAAACCGAGUCUUAACUGGGCGUUAAGUUGCAGGGUAUAGACCCGAAACCCGGUGAUCUAGCCAUGGGCAGGUUGAAGGUUGGGUAACACUAACUGGAGGACCGAACCGACUAAUGUUGAAAAAUUAGCGGAUGACUUGUGGCUGGGGGUGAAAGGCCAAUCAAACCGGGAGAUAGCUGGUUCUCCCCGAAAGCUAUUUAGGUAGCGCCUCGUGAAUUCAUCUCCGGGGGUAGAGCACUGUUUCGGCAAGGGGGUCAUCCCGACUUACCAACCCGAUGCAAACUGCGAAUACCGGAGAAUGUUAUCACGGGAGACACACGGCGGGUGCUAACGUCCGUCGUGAAGAGGGAAACAACCCAGACCGCCAGCUAAGGUCCCAAAGUCAUGGUUAAGUGGGAAACGAUGUGGGAAGGCCCAGACAGCCAGGAUGUUGGCUUAGAAGCAGCCAUCAUUUAAAGAAAGCGUAAUAGCUCACUGGUCGAGUCGGCCUGCGCGGAAGAUGUAACGGGGCUAAACCAUGCACCGAAGCUGCGGCAGCGACACUAUGUGUUGUUGGGUAGGGGAGCGUUCUGUAAGCCGUUGAAGGUGGCCUGUGAGGGUUGCUGGAGGUAUCAGAAGUGCGAAUGCUGACAUAAGUAACGAUAAAGCGGGUGAAAAGCCCGCUCGCCGGAAGACCAAGGGUUCCUGUCCAACGUUAAUCGGGGCAGGGUGAGUCGACCCCUAAGGCGAGGCCGAAAGGCGUAGUCGAUGGGAAACAGGUUAAUAUUCCUGUACUUGGUGUUACUGCGAAGGGGGGACGGAGAAGGCUAUGUUGGCCGGGCGACGGUUGUCCCGGUUUAAGCGUGUAGGCUGAUUUUCCAGGCAAAUCCGGAGAAUCAAGGCUGAGGCGUGAUGACGAGGCACUACGGUGCUGAAGCAACAAAUGCCCUGCUUCCAGGAAAAGCCUCUAAGCAUCAGGUAACAUCAAAUCGUACCCCAAACCGACACAGGUGGUCAGGUAGAGAAUACCAAGGCGCUUGAGAGAACUCGGGUGAAGGAACUAGGCAAAAUGGUGCCGUAACUUCGGGAGAAGGCACGCUGAUGGUAGGUGAAGCGACUUGCUCGUGGAGCUGAAAUCAGUCGAAGAUACCAGCUGGCUGCAACUGUUUAUUAAAAACACAGCACUGUGCAAACACGAAAGUGGACGUAUACGGUGUGACGCCUGCCCGGUGCCGGAAGGUUAAUUGAUGGGGUCAGCCGCAAGGCGAAGCUCUUGAUCGAAGCCCCGGUAAACGGCGGCCGUAACUAUAACGGUCCUAAGGUAGCGAAAUUCCUUGUCGGGUAAGUUCCGACCUGCACGAAUGGCGUAAUGAUGGCCAGGCUGUCUCCACCCGAGACUCAGUGAAAUUGAACUCGCUGUGAAGAUGCAGUGUACCCGCGGCAAGACGGAAAGACCCCGUGAACCUUUACUAUAGCUUGACACUGAACAUUGAGCCUUGAUGUGUAGGAUAGGUGGGAGGCUUUGAAGUGUGGACGCCAGUCUGCAUGGAGCCGACCUUGAAAUACCACCCUUUAAUGUUUGAUGUUCUAACGUGGACCCGUGAUCCGGGUUGCGGACAGUGUCUGGUGGGUAGUUUGACUGGGGCGGUCUCCUCCUAAAGAGUAACGGAGGAGCACGAAGGUUGGCUAAUCCUGGUCGGACAUCAGGAGGUUAGUGCAAUGGCAUAAGCCAGCUUGACUGCGAGCGUGACGGCGCGAGCAGGUGCGAAAGCAGGUCAUAGUGAUCCGGUGGUUCUGAAUGGAAGGGCCAUCGCUCAACGGAUAAAAGGUACUCCGGGGAUAACAGGCUGAUACCGCCCAAGAGUUCAUAUCGACGGCGGUGUUUGGCACCUCGAUGUCGGCUCAUCACAUCCUGGGGCUGAAGUAGGUCCCAAGGGUAUGGCUGUUCGCCAUUUAAAGUGGUACGCGAGCUGGGUUUAGAACGUCGUGAGACAGUUCGGUCCCUAUCUGCCGUGGGCGCUGGAGAACUGAGGGGGGCUGCUCCUAGUACGAGAGGACCGGAGUGGACGCAUCACUGGUGUUCGGGUUGUCAUGCCAAUGGCACUGCCCGGUAGCUAAAUGCGGAAGAGAUAAGUGCUGAAAGCAUCUAAGCACGAAACUUGCCCCGAGAUGAGUUCU